GAGGGUAUAGCUCAGUGGUAGAGCGUGUGCUUAGUGUGCACAAGGUCCUUGGGUUCAAUCCCUGGUACCGCCA
rnacentral:tRNA from 1 species